AAGAUUAAGCAGGAGAGAAGGAUUUGCAUGGAUAACCUAAACCGAAGACAUAGAUAAAAGAAUUGUUUAAGAUCCACACCUCUUCUUUGCCCUUGCCCUUAGCUCCCACGACAAUCUUGUGAUCAACGUAAUCUCCACGUGGAGGGUUGUGGUUAUACUACUAAUUCAAGAGGAAGUAGAUGGAGAGAAUUUUCAAUCUUCGUCUAAACUUUUGAUUUACGUAGCUCAACUCUGAUUUUCAGUCUGCAGCUCACAAUUUGUUGUAACGAUAUUGGUUUGCUUGAGUCGUUGUCCUCCACUCCUGAUUUCAACGGCGAGCUGUGAAGGAUUUUGCUCGCUUUUCUCUUGGGUAUGAAGAACUAUACCUCAUUUUGUCUUCCCUUUUUU